AUAAUGAAAAGUCAGUUUUCAGAGUAAUAGUUAUUUAUGCUACAUGUGGGAUAAGUAGCAAAUAAUCGGACAGUCGUGUUGUUGCGACAUGAGCGUAAGGUUUAUGGGGCAUUCGUAUGAAGACGAGUGUGGUAGAUGUCGCUACGAGCCGUA